rfam:Mycobacterium terrae strain CIP 104321 contig_24, whole genome shotgun sequence.
GGUCUCGUAGCUCAGGGGGAGAGCGUCCGCCUCACACGCGGAAGGUCGCUGGUUCGAUCCCAGCCGGGACCA